GGGCCCGCACAAGCGGUGGAGUAUGUGGUUUAAUUCGAUGCAACGCGAAGAACCUUACCAGGGUUUGACAUCCUGCGAAUCUCUUGGAAACAGGAGAGUGCCUUCGGGAACGCAGUGACAGGUGGUGCAUGGCUGUCGUCAGCUCGUGUCGUGAGAUGUUGGGUUAAGUCCCGCAACGAGCGCAACCCACGUCUUUAGUUGCCAGCAUUUAGUUGGGCACUCUAGAGAGACUGCCGGUGAUAAACGGGAGGAAGGUGUGGAUGACGUCAAGUCCUCAUGGCCCUUACGGGUUGGGCUACACACGUGCUACAAUGGUAGUGACAAUGGGUUAAUCCCAAAAAGCUAUCUCAGUUCGGAUUGUCGUCUGCAACUCGACGGCAUGAAGUCGGAAUCGCUAGUAAUCGCGUAACAGCAUGACGCGG
rnacentral:rRNA from 1 species